AGAGUUCCGACUUAUCAACGAUGAAAGUUAAUAUGCAGAGAAAAUAUUAUGUUGUGGUAUUUAUUGCCUGAGAGUAUCAAUUUCGUAUUAGACUACUAUAAACUUUGUGAUUAGUAUGGCUUUUCUCUCUGUGCACAUUUCGAACGGCGUUCGUCAAAGUUGAUCAGGCCCCAAAGCAAAGGCGUUAAUUUUCAUUGGUCACAUGUGUGGGCCAUCCCAAGAUGAAAGCGUUCAAAUGGCCACAAAUUCAGAGCCAACGAGGUGCUGCUCCUAGGCACAAAAAUCCCACCUCGUUGUGGACCCUAUGCCAAGGAAUUGUCAGACUUAUCAAGUGUAUAGCAUUACCACCCGAUCCAGACAUAAUUAUCAUGUCAAGAUCAGCCUGGUUUGGUGGGCACACUUUGAAAAUUUUCCAUUAGGAAGUGCACAUGAAGAAAUUAUGCUAUUAAACUGAUAUAAAGACCUGAACCCACAUAUACAAAUUGGCUGUGAAAAUGGUGAAAUGAAAGAUCAAUUAUUUCGGCUAAAAGAACUAUUGUACUUGCUUGAAGCAAAUAGAAGGUUGCUUGAGAGUUUACACAUAUUUUUUCUCAGUGCAGCUCCACCUUUUAAAGCCUACUUGCUGUCCAGCUUGUGGACUGUUGUCCUCCGAUCGUGUCGGGACUCAAACCGAAACCAAUUUCAUUCACAUGCGCCACAAAGGCCCCUCCAUCGAGGUCUUAGUCAUCGUCUAGUCUCCUCUGGCUCCUUUUGGAUCGGGGGGUUUCGUCUUAAUGAACUGCAAAUCAUUUUCUGUCUGCGUUGGUUUUCGCCUCCGAUAUACUUUGUGUUUUUUUUUUUUUUGGGUAGGCCGAGAGACUGGACAUGGCACAGAAACGUUCAGAAACGUGAUUUCCAGGCCGGAAUGGGUAGCAGAAACAGAAACAGAACCUGAGAACCAGUUUCUGGGUUCUGUGUGGGAUAAUAAGAUGAAAUUGGUAUUGCUUGGCUCCGCCAGACGAGGCUGGAGUCGGAGGCCAUUAAUUGACGGGCAGGUGGCUGGGACCCAGGGAGGAGCUUUGGACUUUGGAUCCAGCCAAAAGGACCAAUAAGGGUCGGCAAUCGAUGGUUAGGAUUUUAAUUGAAAGCAACGCAUCUCAAGGGAUCGAACUUUUCUCAGAUCAUCGAUUAGAGGUUUAACAAACUUGCUGAAAUUAUGGUUUGGUUAGCAAAAAAGAGUGCCGAUUUUGGUGGUUUUCAAUUUGGGCCGCUAGAUGAUUGUGAUUUGGACAAGUCACCUAACUGACAAGUUGGAACGCCCGCGGAUGUCUGAGUGCUCUGGUUCUCUUCCUCCAGCGGAUGUGUGGAUGUCUGCAAGUUCUUGAUCUUUCAGUCACGACCACGAGUCGCCCACUUCCGCUGGAGGAUCCAGUCUGCCCACUGUCAACCGUCUGACAACUUCCACAAGGCUUUUACUACUUUUUUAGUUAUGCACAGAAAAGAAGAUGUAAGACAUAAGCUAUUUCUUGUUUUAAAUUUAAAUUUAAAAAUGUAUUGCUUUUGUAAGUAAGUCAGUUUUAAUCCAUUUUGAAUGACAAUUUCUUUAGUGCUGUGACAACUAUUUUGUGACUCUCCUUUUGUGGAUAUCUGUGAUCUGUGGCAGGCUUCAAUCUGGGAUCUUCAAGCCAUCGGGAUCAGCUGGGGAAUUCCGUGGCGCUGAUCUGCUAUCCAUCGAUCUGCGGAUCUAUUGAUCCGUGGGCUGAGUUCCGCCUCGAUCUCAUCGUAAUUAAGCUGCGGUUCGCUUUGGUCCAUUUCGAUGCGCUUCACUCAAACCCAACCCAACAAAAUCCAAUCCAAUCGAAUCCAAUCCGAGACCAAGACCAUGUCCCCAUCCAACCCCUCCUUUCUAUCUUUCACUGGUGGAAAGGCUUUCUUUAAACUAGUUCGUCGUGGGGUCUGGGAUCUCUUAUCGCUUCCCGCGGCGGCGUUUUAAUUGGCCCCAUCACUUUGAUUAAGUUGUAGCCGGCGCACGAGCUGUGCUUUGGAAAAUAAUUAACAAAUUAUGCCUGCCAUACAUGGGGGCUGUGGAAAAUUUGAAAAUUGAAAAAAAACACACACAUCUCAAGAGGUGAUUUUCACUUUUGCCCGCUUGGCAAUUUGUCCACUGUGCAGAGGAGUUGCCAUGGUGGCUACCGUGAAAAAAGCAACAUAAAAUUUGCACCGCUGGAUGGAGAUGAUCGCAGUUGGUGAGAUGGAAACAGGAUGCCAUUAAAUAGUGCAAUUUGUUUGGGAAACACAGGUCAAUGGCCAUUACAAGGCAUUUUUCAGAUAUCAUAACAAAUUGGUAAGAUAUUUUUAGGUUUUUUAUGGUUUAAAGGUCAUUUGCUUUAUAUACCACAUGACCAAUUUAAAUCUAGCGUAAUUGCUCAAUAUAUAUUUUGUACCAAGUUCAAUUUAAAUUUCUGCCUAAUUACAAUCGUGAGAACACACCAACAUUUCGAUUUUUUUCUGAGGAACAAAUCAUGCUGGAAAACUUAUGAACUGUCAACCGUUUUGGCUGAACUUUGGCCGCUCCCAGUGGCUUAAACAAAUGAGCAGAACGGGCCAAUUGACCGACCCACUACUAGCCAGAAACCAUAUCGCGUUAUGGAGUUAAAACAGCCAAUACCGAACCGGAUCGAAAUGGCUGGAACCCCAGGGGGAGUCCCAUUGAGGCGCAGGUGUAAUAAUGCCAGCUGCCACAGAGCCGGGCCAGAAAAAGGCAGUAAUUGUAAUAUGACAAACCCGCAUUAAUUUGCUCGCAAAAACUAAAGCGAAACCGAAACUCCGAAAAUCGCAGAGGCAGACAACGAGGCUCACACAGAGAGAAAAAUGUAGCUACUUGGGCUUAUAAGAUAACAAAAUUCAAUUAUUUUGAGUUUAUAUCUGCCAAUGAAUGAGAAAUCUAUCUGUCUGCACUGCAAUUACAGCGGCGGUAUUUAAUGACCGGCUCCAUCGAGCUGGCAACAAGAUUAAUGGUUCAUUCAAGAAUUCGAUUUUCGGCCAUCGGAGCAACAACAAAAGCAGGUUCAUAUCAAAAUGCAUGCCUUUUUUUUUGGCCAAGUAUUUUGGUUUUUUUUUUGUUUUAAAUUAUGAAAAAUAAAAUAUACAUCUCGUGUUUGGCUGCGGGGCGUUUUGCGAGAACAGCAACAGUGUCGAAGAACUUGGCGGUCCCAGACAUUGUGACACCAGCAAAAUGCAGCACCACCACCAGCAACUCCAAUCCCCCAAUCUCAAUUGCUCUGGCCAAGACUCGUUUUGGCCACUUGCACACCAUGAGGGUGUGGGCCCGGCCAAAUGGCUGCUUGAAUCAAAUGAUAUUUCAACAACAGUUGCUUGUGCUGAAAAAUAAUUGUUUAAAUGUCAUAAAAUAAACAACGCAAACCCAGCGGAGGGUCAGCCAAGUGUGGAUACCUAAUGGAAAUUGCAUUGAAAGCUGGCCAAAUUGAAAAUGGAGACGAAAGGAGUUAAGAUUCCAUUUUAGAUUACUUAAAUUGAGGAAAUUAUUAAGAUCAUACUAUAGCUAAGAAUUCAAUAAGGCUAUAAUUAUAUAAAUUAAGACAAUUUAUUUAAGCUCAACUAAGAAAACGUGAGCCAUUUAGAUUUAAUUAAAUUUUAAUAAACAAUCAUGGUAGUUAAGGUGUGCGCAAAAAAAACAAAAUCAAGUGAGUACAUAGUAUUUGUAAUAAAUCGUUUUAAAUUGUUAGCAUUAAACUACUUCUUCAGAUAUCUCACAUAAAUUAAGCAUCGUCAAUUGAACCGCCCUCUAAACCUUGAAAUCAUUACAAAACACACCACUCAGCAUUAUUCAUCCAUGACAAAUGUUUAUGAUCACGAAUCUAGCAUAUGGAUGAAUAUGUAUAUUUGAGUAUCAUUUAGUUGCCAACAUUAGCGAAUCGCAUGCAAAAGUUUCGGCGCGAUUUUAAACGCGUUGGCAUUUCAAAAGCGCCCGCAAAAAUCGCCCACUUUGCAUUUGGCAUCUAUCUAAUGGAAAUCGUUGGCGGUUUCAAAAAAUAGUGCCCAUAAAAUCUGGGGCCCAGCAUUGUUGGUACUUUGGAUACCAAAUCUUAUUCAGCAUUUUGGCUAAUGCAUGCGCAUUCGAUUGCCAAAUUUUCUGGCUGGCUUUAUUAAAGCAUACUUCUUGUAUUGUAAUCAUACUUAGAAUGUUGGCCAAGUGCGAGGUGUUGGCUCAAAUUGGUUUUCCUUGUCAUGCACGCUGCACUGGGGAAAAUAACCAUUACGAAACUGAUGGCAAAUAACACUAAAUCUAAACGACUUUUUUUUGGUUCCGUGUGAGAUUGGUUCAAGCCAAACACUUGAAGACAAAGUGAUUUCGGCACUCAACAGACUUUGUUUAAUUAAGAGUUUUUGCAUUCGGUUGUCUGAGCUGGCCGAUGUCUUCAGCCCAAUUUGAAUACCAAAUUUUGUGAGGAUCAAUUGCAAUUGCUGUCAAGUGAAAGCCAUCGCUCUGCUACUGGGUAAGUGGAAAAGCUUGCCUAACAAUAAACAAGAGCCGCACAUUAAUCAGUUGGGUAAACAAAUCGAACUGGCUAUAAAGAGCCGAUUUAUAUAUAUAUAGAGUUGUUGCGCGGAAAUAUGUCAGCCAUUUCGACAAUUGCCGCCGAAUUGAGUGAGAAAUUAAAGGCCACAACAUCUACAUGGCCAUAAUUAAUUGACAAGCUGGGAAUUAAGUUUUCCACUGGGCAAUAUAAAUCAAUGCUGGCCGAAAUACAACCAAAUAUUCACAAUAUUCAUGCUGAGAGCCUCCUUACUGCUGCAGACAUGGCCACGAGCGGUGAGAAAAAUUAAUGCAUUUACUUAACGAUCGAUAAAUCGCGUCGAAAAAGCCGCUCGACGACAACCGAAUUGCGCAAAAAAAUAUUAUGACCAUCGUCGUGUGGCUAUGCUGGCUGUACAUAUCAAAGGCCUCCGCCAACUCUGGGCCAAGAUAAUCCAAUCCAAUCCAAUCGAAUCGAAUCCGGCCAGAUCAACAAGACCGAACACACGACCUGAGAAAUUGUUUCUCAACAUGCAAAUGCCGUGCGAUUUAUUUGAGGAAGCGGCUAGCAUGCCAAAACCCCAAACCCCAAGAUCCCCAAGACCCCCAAACUCCCAAACUUCGAAAAACACCCAGAGAUGGAGAUACGGGUAGAUAAGCGGUUGAGAUAUUGAGACAGCCACCUGACUCGGUGAAAUGGGUGAGAAAAUAUACAAUAUACUAUAUUCAUAUGCUCGGCAGUAUGCUAAAAAUGCAAAUGCGCCGGCGAAAUUAAGUUGUUAUUUACCUGGCUCAUUUAUUUAUGGCAUUUCGAAAGUUGACAAUCCUUUCGCUAUCUGUCAUCUGACCCAUCGGACUUUGGACAUCCACUGGCUACUACUACAACUACCGUCUUCCAUCUCGGCUCACCGGCAAUUGAGUUCCAAAUGGAUUUUCCCAUCAGCUUUCUCAUGAGCGAGCCAGAAUAAUGGUGCACUUAGCAUAGAGUGAAAACUGUGCCCCUAGUUGGGCGCCAAUUUAAUUUUCGGGAGGAGGUUGGCUUUUUUCACAAUGGGCCAUAAAAAUUAUAACUACGCGUAAGGAGGCGCACACAAAUCAUAAAGCAGGGAGAAAAUCACAUAAAAACGUAUUUCGGUUUAUGCGCUAAUCAAUGAGAUGCGAGGUAUUACCAUAAUUGGACACAAAUCUAAAUUGUUUUCAACUUUUCCUUCUUAGCUAUAAAAUCUUAAGUGCUAUAGUCUUCUCUUCUUUUAAUUAUAAUUUAUUAAUUAUCAUGACUGCAUAGAGUUGUUUCGUGGAUUGGCUGUCAAUCUAGCUAGGUAAAAUAUUAUAUAAUUUUGUUUAGUGUAAGACUUAAUUGCUUAUGAUUGAUUGGAGCAAUGGGUACUCUCACUCGCAUUCAUCAGAGACGCGGGGCGUCUUCAAUAUCACGGCUUUAUUGAUUUCUGGGAAAGUGAAAUGCACUUUUGAGCGCUUCAGUUGGGCUCGGCGGCUACGGAUUCGAGGCACUCGAAGAAGCGUUAACGUAACGAGAACAAGUUGGGCAUAAAAUGCAUUGCAUGUGCACUUUCCGAGGCGGCAUUCGGCACUAGGCUUUCGGCUUUCGGCUUUCUAAUGCCUGAGAGCCGUGGUCAGGUCGGUCAUUUAUGACCCUGGGCAUGUGAAACGUGCUCGGCAUGCCGAAUGCAAAUGGUAAUGGCUAUCCCAGUGGAAAUGGACCAGACCAGACCAGACCAGGCGGCACUCGCAUCCAUUUCCAUUCCCAUUCUCCAGCCGCCUAAGUACUCCACUUGAGCCCGGCUUAGUUGAGCGUAAAUAAUCUUGAGAUGCAGGCUGCCACUAUUGACUUAUGGGUCAGGUGGAAAGAGUCAUUUGGCCAGCUCACGCUGGGUAAAACUCACUAAGGAGUGCAGAGAGUGCGAUUCUAAUGAUGACAAAUGGUGUCGGGGGUUAAUGAAUUUGGGAGAAAUUUAAGAAUAAGCUUGAGCUCGCAUUUCACAAUUUUAUAACUUUUUAAUCUGCCCUCUUUUCAGCUACACUCGCACACUUCAUUUACCAAGACGCCGUAAAUCAACAAUCCAGCGCAUUUCCCAAUUUAAUUAGCAGCAUUUUAAGCAAACAAAAUACCGAAGACUUUAACACCUUUUUUCCAGUCGAAUCCGGAAACGAAUGGAGGGCCCUUUGGGUUUCUUAUUUACCUUUUUGGCCAAAGCUUAGAAAGUGAAAACUUUCAUGAUCAAGCCGAAUUACAAAAGGCCAAAUCGUUGAUUGCAGUUCGUGGAUUGCAGUUUUGUAAACAAUUUUAAGUUUCAAUUGUAGUCGUUUCGAAAGUAUCUCAAUGUUGAUGGUGUUAAAUUAACACUAUUAAUAGGCCAUAUGUGGUAUGCUAAUGAAUUUAAUUACCAGACAUCAUUAUAAACACACAUCAUUAAAGAAAAGUAGUUACAAAUGCAAUUUAUUGCAUUUAUCCAUUUUUUUUUCUACUAAUAAUUAUGGCUUUCUUCUUAAGACCUUAAAUAAUUUUUUAAGUGUUGCUUAAACUUCAUUUUCUCUGCAUAUAUUAUGCAAAUAUUUUCACCCAUUUCGCCGGCGCUCGCUUUCAUGGAGUUUCAUCCAAAAGUGUCUGCAUGUUUUAUCACUUUUCGCAGUCAAAUUAAUUUCAGUCAGAAACUUUGGCCCAGCCCUUUUGGAUUCAUUCUUUCUUUUUUUUUUGAGUUGGGUUUUGGGUAGGUGUGUUUUAACCGCUGGCUCUUUCUUCGCCCGGCUUAAUGAUUAAUUUGGCCACAUGUAUCCGUAUGUUUUAUAUUUCGCAUUUAUUGUGCUUUGGCUUUGUGGCAAGACAUCUUUUACCGCUUGUACCUCCGACAAUGUGGCUCAUAUUUCUGCUGACAAGCCAACUGAUGUCCAUGUCUGGUCCCUCCUUAUUUCGCCCUUCGAAAGUCACUUUCUUUCCAUUUAUCUUGGUGGAAGAAUUUUAGCUUUGGCCUUUUGUUUUAAUCGCUAAUUGCACUUUGUGGCAGGCCGCAAUUUACUUGUUGGCAAAUUGAAAUUUGGGCCAAUAAAGAUAAGCCAUGUAAUUUGUUGUAUAUAUUUCUGCAGAUUUCGGAUGUGGGCAGUUUUUAGUUUAUUUUCGAUUUUAAAUACGGGCCAGCUGAAGUCAAAUCGAGUUAAUUUGAUGUGGGUGUGUUCAUGAUACGGCACGGAUUUCUUUUUAUCAGAAUUGGUUCGUAAAUUAUAUUUUGCCAUUAAUUGAAAAUGGCAUACAGCGGGCAAUUAUUUUUAUUCAGUUUUAUGACUCAAGAAAUUGGCAGUAACGGCGGAUAAUCUAUUAUAUAGCCACUGACAAUUUAGCAGUUUCUUAACUGGAUUUCCUCAUUAAAAUAAACUAUUAAUUACACUAUAAAUUCGAGAGCAUAUAAAAGUUUACACAUGAAAUUUACAAGGUUUUAUAUCGAUGUAUGAAAAAAAUUGUGCUCAUGAUACAAAGCUAUUAUAUAGCUUAUGCACUGAGUUGGUCAAAGAUAUAUCUUCCGACUUGAACCAUUCGAUUGAAUCAAACAUUAGUGCCACGCCUCCGUUUAGUGCAAAAUAGAUAAAUGUCAAAGAGGCGGCUAAUGAACAUAUUUCGCGGCAUUUAUUGAACAAUUUCAGCAAUUUACGUUUAUUAGCGGCCCACAAGUAACUCGAGAAACUCAGCGAAGCCUUUGACUCAUUUGCAUUUGGCAUGCAAAUGUGGUCAAAAUACACAUACUAAGUGAUUUCCAGUGGCUCAGCUGAAGCCAAUUAGCAACUUAUAGUGCUGGCCUUUCAAUUGACUCCCUGGGCAAUUUUCCAACUACAAAUCGCUUUGGCAAAAGCUAAAAGUUCUCUUUGUGCCAGCCUUAAUUAAAGUCUAAUUCUGAUUCAAGAUAUUAUGAAAAUUGAUAAAUUGUCGGUUAGGACGGACGUUUUAUGCGGCGCCCAGCAGGUGGCGCUUGCGCGCGUUUUUUGUCGCCCGCAAGUCGCGCCGCGAGUUCAAUGACGCGUUUGUUUGUGGCUUUGUGGAAAUAAUCAGUCGCUUGUUCGACAUCGGAUUAUGGUAGUAAAUGAUAUGUUGGCUAUGGCCAUUCUCAAUAUGCAUUUAAGCCUGAUUGCAGCUAUUGUUGUUAGCGUAAUUAAGCGAAUGAUUGUUAGCAGAGCGAAAGUCAGUGUGCAGUUUGUUAUAAAUGGCGGCUAAUUAAUGGCAAUACAUUCUAGUAAGGCAUAUUAUCAGGAGCUAGACAAAUACAUAUCGUAAAAAUGGAUUGCAAUUUUAAUAAAUGUGUAAUUAUUUACUGAAAUGAACGGACUUACUUUAAUGAUAUUUAAAUAACUUUGUAUAAAAGUUAAUAAAAUGUAGAAAGAAUAUUAUUAUGUAUUGUAUUACAGAUAGCAAUCACUUUUUAUAUAAAAUAUUAUAAUUUCUUAUCUUAUUUAGUAUACGAUUAAACUGUCAUUUUCCAACUUAGCUUAGUGAAAUCUAAGAUAAAUCUCCGUAUAAUGUGCAUUUUUUUUUACUGAAAUCGAACGAGAAAAAGGUUGUUUGCAUUCGAGUUCCUGGGUCACAUCCUCAUUCGAUUCAACUUGAACCCAUGAAUAUUUGCACACAUGUCACAAUCGAAAGUCAUCGCGUUCAGUAAUGAAUAAUUGCACAGCAGGUAGCAGGGAGAGGAAAAAACCAGACAAAGAAACCUGUGGUUUCACACAAUCGAAAUCAGUUCGAGAUGCUGGGGAUACAGGCAGGUGUCGCAGUAUGCCAACUAAAUACAUAAAUCUCUUGCGAAACCGAAGCAGCCGCUUUUAAAUUGAGCUAAUGAUACACGGCGACUGCCACACAUCCAUCCAAUCGAAUACCAAUUACAAUGCUUGACAUUCCGCAAAGUAAAAGAUACAGACGCGUACUCAAGGUGCGCUCGAUUUGAUUGAUUACCUUCCCCAACUAGCUAGUUUUGGUUUUUUUUUUUUUGGUUUUACUAAUCAUUAAUACGUGAUGCUAUCGAAAUUGUGGAUAAUUAACGCCAUAUUUGUUGCCAGCAAUGGACAAUUAGACGAGGCACAGACCAAAAGUUAAAAUAAAUUGCAUGCGAGAUAAAAAUCGCGCUUGCCUCGCGAUUUUCCUUGCGUUUCAGCGGUUUACAGCUAAUGGCUCGAAAAACGCGUUGGAAUCGCUCGCGAAUCGCUGGUCGAUAUCGGCUUUAUUUGGCGCUUUUAAUGCAAACUAUUUCGCAUUUGAAUCACUGGCAUUUUCCAACUUGAUUUGUCGCCUGUGCAUGUCAAUCACAAACAUUGAGGUAUACCUCUGAUUUUCUUGCGAAUGGAUAAGUUUGUGUCCACACAGCAGUGGGCGAACAACUAGGUAUGAUCAGAAUUAAACAAAAAUAUUAAAAUAAAAUAUAUAACUAGGAUUAAUUAAUUAAUUAAUUUGUUAAGCCUCAUCGCGACAUAUAGCUUAGUUUUUGUAUUCAUUGUAUAUUAUUUAAAGCUCUACAAAUAUUUAUUUAUAGUGGAGAUUUAACUUUCUUUCGCACUUUCCAUUAAAAAAUUUUUGCAUUAAAGAAAAAAAGACAUAUAAAUCUGCUCAUAGCUGUUCGCUACUUUUUUUCGUCGAUCAGCGCUUAUAACACGAUUUCCAAACGAUAAUUAGACAGAGACCACGGGGCCAGCUGCCACUUAAUCUAAUGACAGUUCUCAGACCGCAGCACACCUCACUUGGUAGCCAACUCCCAACUUCCAACUUCCAACUGCCCGGCUGAUCGGCAAUUGCCUAAACGGCUUCUGGUUUGGCUUAGAUAGAUAGUUAUGUAAAGUGCUCGUUGGCUGGCAAACGGCCACUAUAUCAAGGCGCACCGAUAGCUGACACACUUCCGACAUACGGGUAUCACCAGUCCAACCAUGUCCACAUCCAUAUCCAUAACCAUCGCGGAGAAAUGGAAAAUCAAGGCAAGACGCUCCAGUUGUCGCUGGCCAAAAACAGUGAAGUGGCACUCAUUCUCCGGCCAUAAACUCAAUUCGCAUCAAUUGCCUGUCAUUGAGCGAGUUUUUCCGGGCGCAUCUGCACUCAUCACAAAAUCAAAUCAAAUGAAAUCAAAUCAAAUCAAACCGAUACGAAUAGUAUCGCUAUGAGUCGCAUUAAUCAGGCGCGAUUGUAAAAGGAAACUUUCUUUCUUGGGCAUUUCAAAGACUGCGACUUGUUUGUGGAUCUUGACUUAAUGGCACCUAGGUGUCGAAGAUUUUAUGAUUUUACGAUCGAUGGUAUUAUAUGGCGCUGUUGAUUUGUCCAGGCGAAUUGGGGAAGGUAACAAAUGUUGCCUUUGUUUGCAAAGCGUUAUCUAGAUAGGUGCGCCAAUCCUAUGUUUUUUGUGGAAAUUGUAAGAUAUGAGUACCAAUCUUUAAUAAAUUCCCCAUUUGAAUAACCUAUUAAAUGAGGUUUUCCUUUCUCUGAUACAAACGCUAAUCCCAUAAUUACUUUGCAACUUUCGCGAACACUCAAAUCACAUAUUUUGGCCCCACAAUAUGACAAUAAUUAGAAAUCAAUUUACACGUCGGAUUUGAGAUCACCGCCAAUCUCGACCGGGCUGGUGGAGCAUUGUUUGUCUAGCCCGUCCUUUUCGUCUGUCGGAUCAGAGUCGGCGGCCAAAAAUUUACAUCCAUGUCCAUGUCAUGUGUCCAAAAGACUUGGCACGUUUAUGUUUGCUUAUGUGCCAGUAUUAAAGUCUUAAGUGAAAUCCCAUGUCACGUGUCAGAGAGCGGUCCGAAAAUAUACAAGCCCAGCCGAAAACGAAAACUGAAAACUCAAAACUGAAAACUAAAGCUCUGCCCCCCAAAAACCGAAAUCAAUUGAGAAUCGCUGCGAAAUAAAUACUUCAGCAAAUGCGAAUGUUAAUAAAUAUGCUGGAAAAAGUUAAAAAAAAAUAUAUACAAAUACACACAGAGGAAAAAAUAAACAAAAGUGUUUAAAUCGUUCUUUUGAAAUCUUGAAGUUUUGAAGUGCAUAAGUUUGUAUUGUUUUAUAUAAAAGUAUCUUUUGAAAAUGUUUAUAUUCAUUUGUAAUUUGUGCUUAUUUGGUUGUUCUGAGCCUUAAUUUUUUUAUAGUGCAUUGUGGGUAUUUUUGGCCUGGCUUAGAAAGCAGAAGACACUGGACGAUGUUUUGUAGCCCGAGGCGACGGCCGUCCGCCGGAGUGACCCAGUUUACCUCCAUCGCCAGAGCAUCUCUCCAACUCCAUCUCUGUUCGGAUCUACAGUUGCAGGCCUACAGAUGCUGCUGCUCCUCCUGCCACAAACGGCUACCCAACUUCGUCUGGCGUCGAGCGGUGGAAAAACAAACUGUCAGUUUAACCAUUUGACAGUCGCUUUGAGAUACACAAGCGCAGAUAUGAGAUACGACUACGGGUUCGCGUAUCUGCAGCUACUUCUGCGGCGACUGCAUCCUGCCAGACAAGCUAUCUGGCACUGGCGAUCUGCUCCAGCCCCACUCCAUCCCCGUCCGCAUCCAUAGCCCCAUCCUCAUAGGCCCCCAUGAUCUUCCCAAUCCUCGAGAAUUGGCUCCCAGCGGCGCCCGACAAUUGAAACUUUUGCGCCGUUUUGGCGUAUUUAAAGUGACAUUUGCUGACAGUCGGUCGGCGAUGAUCCCGAUGGAAAAGAUUGGAGAGGAUUCGUGGAGGAGGUAUUGGUGGUGGAGGAGGUGGAGCUGCCUGUGAUCUACGAUACAACCAAUGGUUGAUCUUUAAUCGACCAGUCGAUCAGUUCAGUGGGAAGAGUUAUUAUCGUUAUUGUUAAAUCAAAUGCAUUUAAUUAGGAGGAAAGUGAUGGCUGUAAUUGUUUUGUAGAUUUAUGGCCGAAGAUAGUUUAUUUAUUUUACCAAAUUGACGAUGCUAAAGAGCUUUGGUCAUUUCAACUUCACUAUAAAUAUUAGUUAUAAUAACAUUUUACUACAACUUAACAUUAAGAUGACUAAAUCCAUUUAUGUAACAUUUAUUUUUAUAGUAAUUCAAAAGUUCUUAGCUAAAAUUUGGUUUUAUUUCUCUAAAAGCUUGGUGUUACCACCCAGAAAAUAUUGAUUAUAACUUGAGCGAUUUUCUAGAACCCUAUUUUACAUAAAACAAAUGGUUUCACACUCGUUUAUGACUUGAUUAAAUGCAGAUUAACCCGUUUUACGAUCAGCUUUGCGCUUUGACAUUAUUUUAAAGCUCCAAAGAGGUGUUUCGCCCACGAUUUCAUCCAAAUUUCGUUGAACGGGAACUCUUUUUUUCAAACAUUGGUCCAAAGUGGCGCUGCUGAUAGCCCAAAUGGGCGACAAAAGAGGCGCUUAGAAAAAGAUGAGCGGAAAUGGGAGUCGAUGAGAUACAUAACAGAAAUAUCAAAAAGACGCUUCGCCGCCAGUUACAAAAGAGUCUUCUUUCCCUUUUCCAUUCUUCUGCGUUGAAGAAAUCAAGCUUUUCUUUUUGUUUCCCCCAACUUCUCCAUUUCUUUGAUGGAGCCUCUUCAUCUCUAGUGGCAGCAUAAUCAAGAGGCCAUUAAAGUAAACACACUAAAGACGACGCCGAUUCCCCUCCACCAUCGCCAACUUCAAAUGCCGUGAGUGAUAUGAAAAGGUACUAUUUCCUUAACGUGGGCAAGGUACAAGAUAAAUACCAAUAAUUUGCUUGGGUAUUAUUGUACAGUUUUCUACUUAAAUAAUAUUAAAUGCAAAUUUGAAUCAUAGUUUGUGUUUAGAUACAAAGAUAUAGUGCUAGUAUCUACAAUUAUUCCUAGC
rnacentral:sRNA from 1 species